rnacentral:rRNA from 1 species
UCAAGGACGAACGCUGGCGGCCGGUGCUUAACACAUGCAAGUCGAGCGAUGAAGCUCCUUCGGGAGUGGAUUAGCGGCGGACGGGUGAGUAACACGUGGGCAACCUGCCUUGUAGAGAGGAAUAGCCAUUCGAAAGGAUGAUUAAUACCUCAUAAUAUUGUAGCUUCGCAUGAAGCAACAACCAAAGGAGCAAUCCACUACAAGAUGGGCCCGCGGCGCAUUAGCUAGUUGGUGGGGUAACGGCUCACCAAGGCGACGAUGCGUAGCCGACCUGAGAGGGUGAUCGGCCACAUUGGGACUGAGACACGGCCCAGACUCCUACGGGAGGCAGCAGUGGGGAAUAUUGCACAAUGGGGGAAACCCUGAUGCAGCAAACCGCCGCGUGAGUGAUGACGGUCUUCGGAUUGUAAAGCUCUGUCUUCAGGGACGAUAAUGACGGUACCUGAGGAGGAAGCCACGGCUAACUACGUGCCAGCCGCUGC